rnacentral:hammerhead_ribozyme from 1 species
AUCCAGCUGACGAGUUCCAAAUAGGAUGGAAUGCGCGUUCUGGAA